rnacentral:rRNA from 1 species
UACGGGGGGAGCAAGCGUUGUUCGGAUUUACUGGGCGUAAAGGGCGCGUAGGCGGCUUUCCAAGUCACUUGUGAAAUCUCCGGGCUUAACUCGGAACGGUCAAGUGAUACUGUGAGGCUAGAGUCCGGAAGAGGAGAGUGGAAUUCCCGGUGUAGCGGUGAAAUGCGCAGAUAUCGGGAAGAACACCCGUGGCGAAGGCGGCUCUCUGGGACGGUACUGACGCUGAGACGCGAAAGCGUGGGGAGCGAACAGG